CUCAGCCUCCCAAGUACCUGGGAUUACAGGGUCCUGCAGGAGCAGUCUGCUUCCUUCAGAGAGUCUGUCCUGAUGCCUUUAAAGACACAGUCUCAAGAUGAAAUGGUGAUUUGUUCAGAUAAUCUCUCCUGAGAAGGAAUCAGAGAAGAGAGGAAGAAAUGGUUGAUUGUCAGGCCUUGCUGUCUCUAAACCUGAUCGCAUCUCCUGCCUUGAGCAAAUAAAAGACCCCUGGAAUGUGAAGAGACAUGAGACAGUGGUCAAAUACUCAGGCAGGUAAGCAUGAAUGAAGCAGAUAACACAGACGAGAGGUACAAAGGUCAAAAAGAAUUGCAGACCUUAAAAUGUGGUAUGGGAUGCUCUGCUUCAGUGGAAAUGUUUCCUAAAAAGCCAUUUUUUAUUCUGUAGCUUUUGUAUAGGAGCAUCAUUUGUCCCAUACCAUUAAAUUCUCUAUGGACGUUACUUGCUAUUUAGUGAUUUUCCUUUGAAGGUACCGUGAGAGCUAAAGUCCUCUUUAUGGCUUAUAAGGUGCUGCAUGAUAUGCCUCCUCUUCCAUUGCUUCAAGGGGGGAUAUAAGAAUAUCUCUGAGUAUUUUGAGGAAGUGCAUGUUAGAUCAUUUCUGAAGUUUUCUUUUUCCAUCAUAUCUGAAGUGUGUGAGAGCAGUGGUGACAUUAAGAUUUGUUUCAGAAAUCUCAGGAACAUCAAUGACAGAUGUUACUUGCUAUUUCUGUAUUUUUUCUUUUCUUUCUUUCCUUUUUGUUUUUGUUUGUUUGUUUGUUUGUUUGUUUGAGGCAGAGUUUUGCUCUUGUUGCCCAGGCUGGAGUACAAUGGCAUGAUCUCAGCUCACCACCAUCUUCCCCUCCUGGGUUCAAGUGAUUCUCCUCUGGGUUCAAGAGAUUCUCCCACUUCAACCUCUGGAGUAGCUGGGAUUACAGGCAUGUGCCACCAUGACCAGCUAAUUUUGUAUUUUUAGUAAAGAUGGUGUUUCCCAAUGUUGGUCAGGCUGGUCUUGAAUUUCCGAACGUAAGUGAUCCUCCCGCCUUGGCAUCCCAAAGUGCUGGGAUGACAGGCGUGAGCCACCGUGCCCAGCCUCUAUUUUUUCUUUUUGAUAUUAGUAAUUUUAACAGAUUUGAAGUCAUACCUCAUCACUGUUUUCAUUUGCAGUUGCCUAUUUGUAGGUGAUAUUAGGUAUCAUUUUCAUGUAAUAAACUAAUUUUCUUUGAGUAGAUACCCAAUGAUGAGGUUUCUGAAUCAAAUCGUAGUUUUAUUUUUAGUUGAGAUUGAGCAUGUUUUUUAUAUGCGUGUUGGUUAUUUGUAUGUCUUUAUUGAAAAAUGCUUAGUAGUAUUUGCUCAUUUUUCAAUGGGAUUUCUUAUUAUUAUGAUAUUUUUGAAUUGUUUGAGUUAUUUGUAAAUUCUGAAUAUUGGUUUCAUGUUGGCCCAUAGUUUGCAAAUAUAUUCUUUUAUUCUGUAGGUUGCCUAUUUAUCCUGUUGAUUUUUUUUUUUUUUUUUACUGUGCAAAAACUCUUUUGUGUCCCAUUUGUCUAUUUUUUAUAAUAAUAAUAUAAUAAUAGUUUUCUUUGUUGUGUCCUUGGCUAGUUUUGGUAUCAGGGUGAUACUGACCUCAGAGUGACUUAGGGAGAAUUUAAUUAUCUUCAAUUUUUGGGAAGAGUUUAAGGAGGAUUAUUAUUCUUUGUAUAUUUGGUAGAAUUUGGCUGUGCGUUUAUCCAGUCCUGAGCUUUUCUUUGUCGAGAUACUUUUUAUUACUGACUCAAUCAUGCUACUCAUUACUGGUUUGUUCAGGUACUCUAUUUCUUCCUGGCUCUAUCUUGGGAGGUUGUAUGUUUUCAUGAAUUUAUUCAUUCUUUUUAGGUUUUCAGGUUUAUUAGUGUCUAGAUGUUUAUAAUCAUUUCUAGUGAACUUUUGUAUUACUGUUGUAUCCAUUGUAAUGUCUUCUUUCAUAACUGAUUUUGUUUAUUUAGAUUUUCAUUCUGUUUGUGGUUAAUCUACCUAGCAAUUUACCCAUUUUGUCUUUUUGGAAAACCAACUCUAUUCUGUUGAUCAUUUUUAUUGUUUUUCAUCUCUAUUUCAUUUGGUUCUGUUCUGAUUUUUGUUAUUUUUUUCUUCUAACUUGGAAUUUUGUUUAUUAUUAAUUUUCUAGUUCCUUGAAGAGUGUGUGAUGUCAGGUGCUCAAUAUGUAAGCUUUCUACUUUUUUGAUGCAGUCAUUUAGGCUGUAAACUGCCCUCUUAGUAUUAUAUUUGCUUUAUCUCACAGGUUUUAUUAUAUUGUGUUUGUCUUUCCAUCUUUUUUCCCACACAUUUUUAAUUUUUAUCUUAAUUUUCUUUUUGAAAUGGGUUUUAAUCUGUCACCCAGGCUGGAGGGCAGUGGAACAAUCUUGGCUCACUGCAACCUCCACCUUCCAGGAUCAAACCAUCUUUUUAUCUCAGCCUCCCGAGUAGCUAGGACCAUAGGUGCGCACCAUUACAUCUAGCUAUUUUUUAAAAUUUUUUAUAGAGAUACAGUUGUGGCAUGUUGCCCAGGCUAGUCUCAAAGUCCUGACCUCAGGUGAUUCACCUGCCUCAGCCUCCCAAAGUGCUGGGAUUACAGAGAUGAGCCGCCACUCCUGGCUGGCCAUUUUAAUUACUUCAUUUACAGUUUUUGGGAACAAGCCCCCCAAAAUCUGUCCAUAAACUGGCCCUGAAAUUGGCCAUAAACAAAAUCUCUGCAGCACUGUGACAUGUUCAUGAUGGCCAUAACACCCACACUGGAAGGUUGUGUGUUUAGCAGAAUGAGGGCAAGGAGCACCUGGCCCGCCCAGGGCAGAAAACCACUUAAAGGCAUUCUUAAGCCACAAACAAUAGCAUGAGUGAUCUAUGCCUUAAGGACAUGCUCCUGCUGCAGUUAAUUAGCCCAACCUAUUCCUUUAAUUUGGCCCAUCCCUUCAUUUCCCAGCCUGACCAAUGUGGUGAAACCUGUCUCUACUAAAAAUAUAAAAAUUAGCUGGACGUGGUGGUGGGUGCCUGUAAUCUGAGCUACUGGGGAGGCUGAGGCAGGAGAAUUGCUUGAAACAGGGAGACAGAGACUGUAGUGAGCCUACAUUGCACCACUGCACUCCAGCCUGGGCAACAGAGCAAGACUCCAUCUCUCAAACAAGUAAAAUAAAAUAAGUAAAUCAACAUGCAGUAGUCAGUGAGCAUCAGCCAUGCAAUUGUGCUAGGUACAGAAGAUGGAAAAAAUAUCCUUGAGGUAGGAGAAACAUGUUAACAGAUAAAUUACAGCAGACAGACUUGAUAGACGAGGGUAAAAGUUAUUAGGAACAGAAGGCCUAAUUCUCCCUAGAAAAGGUACUAUUUGAGAUGGGUCUCAACGAAGAGUAAAGAGUAAAUAUUCUUUGCUGGGGGAAGGGGAUGGAGACACAACAAAAAGAACAACCCAUGCAACAGCAGGGGCAGUAAAGAAUUAUUCAGUGUGUCAGUGAUGUGGAAGACAGAGACAAGAGCCAAGACUAGCAAUUUGGUUUGGAAGCAGAUAUGGGUCUUCGUAAAACAAGUGAAGGAGUUUGGAUUUUUCUUUUUGCAGACAGCAGGGAGGCAAGAGAUGUUAUUAGGCAGGCAAACAAUGACAGCAGCUUUUGUUUUUGAGGAUGAUGACUCUGGCAGCAAGCUGGAAGAUUAACAGCAGUAGAGAGAAACUGGUGGCAGAAAAUUAAGAGGUGCUUAUGACUCAAUGAGGGCCUUAGGUCAGAAGUGAUUAAACAGCCAAAGUCAGUGACUGAAGCAUGGUUUUGAGGAGAGCCUGGUGACUGAUUGGACAUGGGGGUGAGAGAGACAUGCAUCAGGACAGCCAUCAGUAAUGUUCCUGGCCUAGUAGGUUGUGUGCAUGGCAAUCACCUUCCAGAAGGAAUGGACAUUACUUUCAUUUUUACAAGUACUUGCAGGGUGAGGGACUUGUAGUGUGAUCAGGAUCACAAAAGAUUACUGCUUCAGAAAAAUUGUAAGUGAAAAUGUAGAGUUAGAGUUGUCAGUUUAUAGGUUAAAGGAGAGGGCACAAAAGCACCAGAAUGCACAGGGCACUCUGCAGGAACAGAACUCACUCCCAAGUAUGGGAGGUGAAAGGUUGCUGCAGAGAACAGGUACCUGGCAACUGACUGCAAUGGGAUGCUUACAGUCUGUCCACUGAUUUCAGAAUUUUAAAACAACUAUUCUCAAGUGUUGCACAUGUCUCUAAGGUAAGUGGGAGCCCAGACCACUGUGGAGGCAACUGUCUGCUUACUGCAGGCAGCCCUUUCUUUUCUGGAAUUCAGUCUCCUCAUCUUCCUGCCUUAUCUCGUGCAUAUUUCCUGCUUGUGUAGUAGGGUGGAAAGUGGAAGGGCAGGACAAAGGUCAAAUCAGUGGCACUUAUUUGCUAAACAUAUACUAGACAGUUCUGGUGUGAGGCCUGGGGUCCCAGAUCAUAUAAAUUAUCACUGUCUCCUUUAUUGCAUCCCUGUAUUGUCCCCAUCCAUCUCAGCCAGGGCAGCUGGCUAACAUCCACUCUCUCAAGACGACAUGUGUGGACAGAAGACCUGGCUCAGAAACACCAGUCUAUGAAAAGGGCAGAUAGUUAUGUAAGAAUUUUGCAAAAACUUGAGAAAUUAAAAUAAGGGAGACUAUGAAUGCAAAAACAUUAACUAUCAAGCUAGUAAGAGCUAGUUCAAAGAAUUUUUUUAAAAGAUAUACUCCACGUAACUGAAAACAUGAGGGAGACUGGCAGAUGACAGCAUCAGAGCGAAUUUCCUAAAUAACUCAGGUAGGAGCCACCUACCAAAACAACUUUACAGAGCCAAUGCAUCUCAUUUGUUGAAGAAGCUGAUGAGUUCUAGAGCUCUUAUUUACUAUGGAGUUUUCAAAUACACUGAAUACCACUUAAUGUUUUCCUCAAUCCCAAGCUUCUUGUAAAACUUUGACCUUGCCAACCAUGGCAUCUUAGAGGCAAAUAAAAGCUUACUUACUUUAU